UACGUAGGGGGCUAGCGUUGUCCGGAUUUAUUGGGCGUAAAGAGCGUGUAGGCGGCCAGGUAGGUCUGCUGUGAAAACUCGAGGCUCAACCUCGAGACGUCGGCGGAAACCAUCUGGCUAGAGUCCGGGAAGAGGAGAGUGGAAUUCCUGGUGUAGCGGUGAAAUGCGCAGAUAUCAGGAAGAACACCCGUGGCGAAGGCGGCUCUCUGGGACGGUACUGAGCUGAGACGCGAAAGCGUGGGGAGCGAACAGG
rnacentral:rRNA from 1 species